CAAGCGUCUGGGGUAAGCAGAGUCACUGUCAUCAGCGCCCCACUGAUGAGUCUAGGCAGUGACUCCGAGACGAAACGCAUU
rnacentral:hammerhead_ribozyme from 17 species